GUGUCAGCAGCCGCGGUAAUACGUAGGGUGCGAGCGUUGCCCGGAUUUAUUGGGCGUAAAGGGCGCGUAGGCGGUCACGCACGUCCGUUGUGAAAUCGCUCGGCUCAACUGGGCGGGGUCAGCGGAUACGGCGUGGCUGGAGCAAGCUAGGGGGCAAUGGAAUUCCCGGUGUAGUGGUGGAAUGCGUAGAUAUCGGGAGGAACACCAGUGGCGAAGGCGGUUGCCUGGAGCUUUGCUGACGCUGAUGCGCGAAAGCGUGGGGAGCGAUCCGGAUUAGAUACCCGGGUAGUCC
rnacentral:rRNA from 1 species